UUCCCACCUCAAUAACCGCAGCAAAAGCCCUUUAUUACUCUAUAUGACAGCUAUAACAGAACAAAGGAUCUGUACAGACUAGUACAGGCAACAAGAUCAUUGGAAUGAUGGCCAUGAAAAAGAUGGGAGGUUGACGCUGUAUGGGCAAUAGCAGCCAUCAUUCAUUUGUGGAAAACGUUUUUUGGCUUUCUACUUCAUCAUCAUUGAACAAAGAAAA